rnacentral:rRNA from 1 species
UGGGGANUNUUNNNNCAAUGGGGGGAACCCUGACGCAGCCAUGCCGCGUGAAUGAAGAAGGCCUUCGGGUUGUAAAGUUCUUUCGGUAUUGAGGAAGGUUGAUGUGUUAAUAGCACAUCAAAUUGACGUUAAAUACAGAAGAAGCACCGGCUAACUCCGUGCCAGCAGCCGCGGUAAUACGGAGGGUGCGAGCGUUAAUCGGAAUAACUGGGCGUAAAGGGCACGCAGGCGGUUAUUUAAGUGAGGUGUGAAAGCCCCGGGCUUAACCUGGGAAUUGCAUUUCAGACUGGGUAACUAGAGUACUUUAGGGAGGGGUAGAAUUCCACGUGUAGCGGUGAAAUGCGUAGAGAUGUGGAGGAAUACCGAAGGCGAAGGCAGCCCCUUGGGAAUGUACUGACGCUCAUGUGCGAAAGCGUGGGGAGCAAACAGGAUUAGAUACCCUGGUAGUCCACGCUGUNNACGCUGUCGAUUUGGGGGUUGGGGUUUAACUCUGGCGCCCGUAGCUAACGUGAUAAAUCGACCGCCUGGGGAGUACGGCCGCAAGGUUA